rnacentral:ncRNA from 2 species
CUCCACCUUCAGGGCAAAGUGAGAAUCUGUUAAUAUUACGGAAUGAACGGCAGAUUCAAUUCUUGACCGGCGGUAUAGUCCGCGAACCUCGUAUAAGAGGCCGAUUGGGUUUGACUCCCAAACCGACAGUAUAGUCUGGAUGAAAGAAGUGUAGGC